AAUCAACGCUGGCGGCGUGCCUCAGACAUGCAAGUCGAACGAUUAAAGCUCCCUUCGGGGAGUGCAUAAAGUGGCGCACGGGUGAGUAACACGUAAGUAAUCUACCCUCGGGUGGGGAAUAACAUCGGGAAACCGAUGCUAAUACCGCAUAAUGCAGCGGCACCGCAAGGUGACAGUUGUUAAAGAUUUAUUGCCUGGGGAGGAGCUUGCGGCAGAUUAGCUUGUUGGUAAGGAACGGCUUACCAAGGCUACGAUCUGUAUCCGGUCUAAGAGGACGGUCGGACACACUGACACUGAAUAACGGGUCAGACUCCUACGGGAGGCAGCAGUCGGGAAUUUUGGGCAAUGGGGGAAACCCUGACCCAGCAACGCCGCGUGAAGGAUGAAGUAUUUCGGUAUGUAAACUUCGAAAGAAUAGGAAGAAUUAAUGACGGUACUAUUUAUAAGGUCCGCUAACUACGUGCCAGCAGCCGCCGCCGUAAU
rnacentral:rRNA from 1 species